rnacentral:tRNA from 2 species
GAGAUGUUAGUAAAUCAAUUAUAUAGCCUUGUCAGGACUAAGUAACUGGUGAAAACCCAGUACAUCUCA